GCGGACAGAUGGGAGCUUGCUCCCUGAUGUUAGCGGCGGACGGGUGAGUAACACGUGGGUAACCUGCCUGUAAGACUGGGAUAACUCCGGGAAACCGGGGCUAAUACCGGAUGGUUGUCUGAACCGCAUGGUUCAGACAUAAAAGGUGGCUUCGGCUACCACUUACAGAUGGACCCGCGGCGCAUUAGCUAGUUGGUGAGGUAACGGCUCACCAAGGCGACGAUGCGUAGCCGACCUGAGAGGGUGAUCGGCCACACUGGGACUGAGACACGGCCCAGACUCCUACGGGAGGCAGCAGUAGGGAAUCUUCCGCAAUGGACGAAAGUCUGACGGAGCAACGCCGCGUGAGUGAUGAAGGUUUUCGGAUCGUAAAGCUCUGUUGUUAGGGAAGAACAAGUGCCGUUCAAAUAGGGCGGCACCUUGACGGUACCUAACCAGAAAGCCACGGCUAACUACGUGC
rnacentral:rRNA from 2 species